GCUCCCGAGAGCAAUGGUGGCACUGUCAGGAGAUAUGCAGCUAUGCAGUCAUCCCCUGAGACUACAAAACUGUCCUCAAUUUUAGUGUUUGUGCAUGAAUCUGGAAAAUAAAAAGGUAUUAGUGUUGAAUUUACCUGUAAUGACGACAUCCGUGAGGUUGGUGCCAAAAAUAAGACUGCUGAACCUUCCAGUAGGGGCGUCUCUUCCCCUCCCGUAAGAUGGCAGAACAGGAAGAUGAGGCCACUCUGAUUCAUCCUGUUUGUGUUUUUUCCAAAGAUUUAGUUUAACGUUAACCUCCAACAAUAUUAAUGGUACAUUCUGGUUCUAAUGUAUUCGAUAGUUGGUCAAAAAGUUAGUUCCCCCACUCCACACUUUUGUUUACAAUGUUAGGUAACAAUUGCUUAUAUUUUUUGGAAUAAAAGCUCGGUCUAGGUUUUUGUUGGUCAAA